AAAACUUUUUGAAAGUUCAAGCAUCAAUUGGUCAGUUUUUUUGUACGAUGUAUUAAGUGAAAAAUAGUGUAAAGUGCAUUGUAUUUUUUUAUCAAUUUUACUAUCACUUCUCUCUCUCAUUUCUCUCUUCGAAUUCAAAACUGCAUUCUCUCUCUCUCUCUCUCGUUUCACUUCGCUUCGCUUCGUGUUCAGUUGUUCUUCAACUCGACGAACUCGUGAGUUCAUUUUCUUUCAAUUACCUUUAAAUUAUAUUGAAUUUUACUUGAUUGAUGAUGAUAAUUUUGUAGAAUUAGGCUUUCAUUAAACAUGUUUUUGUUCUAGAUUUGAAUCUUCAAGUUGAAUUUACUAUUUUAUUUUACAAUCACAUGUAAUUAAGGUAUGAUUUCUUACAAUUGUUUGAAUUCACAUUGAUUCAUGUCAAUUUGAUAGAAAAUUAGGGUUUUAUAUUAAUUUGUUUCAAUUUCGUGUUUUCAGCAUGAGAUUUGUUGCCAUAAUGGUCAAUUUUCAUCAGAUUAGGUUUUCUAGAGCAAUCUAUUCUAAAUAAACAGUUUGUAAGAUUAUACAUGUUUAAGAUGCAAUUUAUCUUUAUUACUCUUUCAAUUAGUGUUUAAUUUUUCAUACGCCUGUUUUAAUUUAUUGGAAUUAGCUUUCUGUUUGAAUUCCAGUCUAAUUAACUAAGUUUUGAUUUGUUUUAUGUAUCUUUAUUAAGUUUUUUUUAUGUAAGUGAUCCAACUUGAUGUUGUGUGGAUGUUGGGAACUGUAGAAACAUGUCUGUCUGGUUUGAGGGAAUGGCAAUGGUAGAAGAAGAUGAUAUGUUGGAAAGAUAUCUUAGAAGGCUGAAGCAAUUGGAAGAAGGUCAAGAAAGGAUCUUUGUAGAAAGCUUAGGUACUAAAUGAGAACAUGCAAAAGCUGCUUAUAAGACUGAUUUGGGAUAGAUAGCAAGAAGACGAAAGAUGUUGAAUCUGUUAUUGUAAGUAAAAAGCAAAAUAAUUCUUAAAGGUAUUUAAACAUUUUGUCCAAAACUAGCUUUUGAUUACCUUAGUAAAGUGUUGGAAAUAAGCUGGAGAUUUAAAUUUUAUGCAUAUUAUUUUUAGGUCAAUCUAUCUUUUUUUGUCGAUAAACUAGAUAAUCAAGACUACAGUGAAACCCCAAGCAAUGAGGAGCAUCGUAGAACAUUGAUUGAUAGUCCUAGUGGAGUUAAAAAAUUAAGAGGAGUCCAUCAAAAAGAGGUUGUCUUAUUUCUGACUACUGCAAUAGCUUAUCACUUUUUGUUGGCUUUAAUUACAACCCCUGUGUAUGUCGUAGUAAUCGCUUGUGCCACCGUUGGUGUAGUCAAUACUUUUGUUAUAAUCAGAGGUGUGUUUUUUAGGUUGUUUGGUA
rnacentral:lncRNA from 1 species